ACAAAGCGUAGCUUAAACUAAAGCACUCGGCCUACACCCGAAAGAUUUCAAAAAAUGACCGCUUUGA
ensembl:Mt_tRNA